rnacentral:misc_RNA from 1 species
UUUCCGUAGGUGAACCUGCGGAAGGAUCAUUAGUGAAUUGAAUAUGUUAGCGGACCUCUUCGGAGUCCCUAGCAUCAAAUCAUAUCCAUAACACCUGUGAACUGUAAGGCUGUCUCGAAAACGAAAGUGAUUAGAGCGCCUGCCCAUUUUAUACAAACAUUAAAGUAACAAACGCAGUCUUAUUAUAAUCUAAUAAAACUUUCAACAACGGAUCUCUUGGCUCUC